UACGUAGGGUGCAAGCGUUAAUCGGAAUUACUGGGCGUAAAGCGUGCGCAGGCGGUUUUGUAAGUCUGUCGUGAAAUCCCCGGGCUCAACCUGGGAAUUGCGAUGGAGACUGCAAGGCUAGAAUCUGGCAGAGGGGGUAGAAUUCCACGUGUGAGCAGUGAAAUGCGUAGAGAUGUGGAGGAACACCGAUGGCGAAGGCAGCCCCUGGGUCAAGAUUGACG
rnacentral:rRNA from 1 species